UAGUGGACGGGACGCUUCUUCGAGAACAACAGUUAGUCAGACACCUGGUUAGCGUGCUAGCCAACAUCGCAGAAACAUUGAGGCCCUUCAGACCAUUUCAGUGUCUAUUUGCCACUGUGUUUAGAACACACUUCUGUCGUAUCUACUUGUUACCCCAUUUAAUGGCUAAAUUAGCCUAGUCCUAAGCUAAUGCUAACUAACACCCCCGACCACGAGUUCACUAAGUUACUCUCCUCCUGUUAAAGAAGAGGAUGUCUGCUGGACGGAGAAAUAGGGUCUUUGGCUGAACGUUGUUGAGGAGGAUAUCACAGUAAAACAAGAAGUAGAGUAUGAACCUGUUAGUGAAAGAAGAAGAGAAAGACGCGUUCAGAGUAAAAGAGGAGGAAGUGAACGAGGAGGAUGCAGUUUUUGGAGUGAAGGAGGAAGAGGAGGAGACUGAAGAUCGGAUUAACACCAGUAAAUACAGUCUUAAACAUAACGUUAACAAUGGAUCAAUGCAUCCAAUCUAGAGGCGAAAGAAACACACACUUGUUUAGGUGAGGUGCUGGCUAGCAGAGUAUAACACCUGUUUAGGAUAGCUGUUUAGGAGAGGUGCUGUACUGCGCCGCUGUAACUCGGCGUUGUGUGUGGUUGAUUGAGACUAUAGACGUGGACUUUGGAGAUCAGGUAGUUUUAAUUAAGCAGAAUUCACUCUGCAUCCAAAAGAAAAUAAAACAUUUGUAUAGCACAUAUGUUCGGCGAAUCGUCGCCUCUUUCUCUCAUAGUGCAUCAAAAUGAUUUUCGAAUACAAAAAUUAGUACAGCCUCUCCUUAUUAUACAUCAACACAAAACAUAUAUUUUACAUAGAUAAAACCACAUACCUGCAUCCAAAAGAAAAUAAAACAUUUGUAGAGCACAUAUGUUCUGCGGCAGGGUACCUAGUGGUUAGAGCGUUGGACUAGUAACCGAAAGGUUGCAAGUUCAAAUCCCCGAGCUGACAAGGUACAAAUCUGUCGUUCUGCCCCUGAACAGGCAGUUAACCCACUGUUCCUAGGCCGUCAUUGAAAAUAAGAAUUCGUUCUUAACUGACUUGCCUAGUUAAAUAAAGGUAAAAUAAAAAAUCGUCGCCUCUUUCUACAACAGAUGCACAAUACAAGGGACUGGGAUCAUUCGAGGAGCUAACCAUCGUUCACACAUACAAUAGCCUGCUAAUACCUUAGCUAGCUAUUAACCACAUGUUGAAUUCAGAAUGUUGAUAUCAUCCUAAAAAGUACAAUUACAAGUACAUCUUAACAAUAGCAUCCACUUAUGAGUAACCUCUAAAUAUACAACAUUAUACAUGAACAAAACACUGUGUGGAUGACUUGGUGCUUAAAAGAAUCAAACUUUUCUGAAGACGACAGAAAGUGUGCCUACCUCUCAUAGUGCAUCUAAAUGAUUUGAGCACGAGCACGCAGGGCAAAACGUAAGUACACACUCCCCUACUCCCAGGAUGCAGACAUGCAUAAUAACAAAUCAACAUGCCAUUUUAAUAUAUGAACCUGGUGAAAUUCACACAGUACUUUAACAACUGUUAAAUGAAGGCUACCUGUGUCCUGCGUAACUUCAUGAGGAUGGACACUAGGACCAGGAGGGGAUCUGCAGCUCGCCGCCGUGUCCCAGAGGAGGAGUCUGCUGCUCUGCAGGAUGUUUCAAGGAUGGAGUCCAACAACGCAGCAAGAGAGGCAAUCCGUGUGCAGGAGAUCUUCACCUCCUACUUCAUCAAAGAGGGUGCUGUUCCCGGGCAACACCAUAGACUACACUAUGCACAACCAAAGGCUCUUUUAAUUCACAUUGCCAUAAGAGUAUUCUUCCAUUUACUUAGCUAUGUCAACUGCAGUUAUUCAAUCCACAGUUUCUCUCCUUUUGAUUUCUACUUCUCAGGUGAGUGCUGUUUAGGUAAGGGUGUGAUGUCUGUGCAAAAACAAAACAGGCUAUUUUAAAUCACCCAUAUUGAAAACAUUUAGAACAAUUAGACACCCUAUAACCCACACCUACACACUCAUGUAUCAAUCUGAUUGAUGGAUUGUGUUGUGCAGGUUCAGGUGUAUAACUGCGGCUCCUUCCAUUUUCAAAGAAUAUGCAAGAGGGCCAACCAUGGAGAAUAGUAAGACACUUCAUUAUUUCUAUAACUACACUAUGUUGUUUGUCCUUGUGUGUCUGUUUUUCAGCAUAAAGUACUCUGUACUCUGUAGCCACUUAGUGUGGCCUCACACCAGGUGAGGCCACACACAGAUUCCUGUUGAACACUGUCGCUUUAACUUCUCUAGGAUAGGGGGCAGCAUUUUCACGUUUGGGUGAAAAGCAUACCCAAAUUCAACUGCCGGCUACUCAUCCCCAGAAGAUAAGAUUUGCAUAUUAUUAGUAUAUUUUGAUAGAAAACACUCUGAAGUUUCUAAAACUAUUUGAGUCAUGUCUGUGAGUAUAACAUAACUUAUUUAGCAGGCGAAACCCCGAGGACAAACCAUUUUUAUUUUUAUUUUUUAGGUCAUUUUUCUUUCUGCGUUUUGUUUCGUGCCUGCGGUGUUGAAAUAUGCUUCUCUCUCUUUGUUUACUAUGGUGCUAGCUCAGAUAAUAGCAUCGUUUGCUUUCACCGAAAAGCCUAUUUGAAUUCUGACAUGUUGGCUGGACUCACAACCGAUGUAGCUUUAAUUUUGUAUCUUUCAUGUGUGAUUUAAUGAAAGUUUGAUUUUAUAGUAAUUUAUUUGAAUUUGGCGCUCUGCAUUUUCUCUGGCUUUUGGCCAUAGAAAAUGGCCAGAUUUUUUUUUUUUAUAUAUAUAUAUAUAGCUUUUGGCCAGAUUUUCGGAUAUAAAUAUGAACUUUACCGAACAAAACAUAUAUGUAUUGUGUAACAUGAAGUCCUAUGAGUGUCAUCUGAUGAAGAUCAUCAAAGGUUAGUGAUUCAUUUUAUCUCUGUUUCUGCUUUUUGUUACUCAACUGUCUUUGACUGGAAAAAUGGCUGUGUUUUUCUGUGGCUAUGUACUGACCUAACAUAUUCGCAAGAUGUGCUUUCGCCGUAAAUCCUUUUUGAAAUCAGACAUGUUGGCUGGAUUCACAACCAAUAUAGCUUUAAUUUGGUAUCUUUCAUGUGUGAUUUAAUGAAAGUUUGAUUUUUAUAGUAAUAUAUUUGAAUUUGGCGCUCUGCAUUUUUACUGGCUUUUGGCCAAGUGGGACGUUAGCGUCCCACAUAUCCCAGAGAAGUUUUAACUACCUUAUUUUCUCAAUAACAGUCUCUCUUCUUCACUUCAUCCCUCUCUCCCUAAAUCCUCUAGGUCACAGGUGUCAAACUCAUUCCACGGGGGGCCGAGUGUCUGCGGGUUUUCGCUCCUCCCUUAUACUUGAUUGAUGAAUUAACAUCACUAAUUAGUUAGGAACUCCCCACACCUGGUUGUCUAGGGCUUUAUUGAAAGGAAAAAACAAAAACCUGCAGACACUAGGCCCUCCGUGGAAUGAGUUUGACACCCCUGCUCUAGGUUCUAUCAGCUGUGUCGGUGAACCCCUCCUGUAUCUGAACUGGCUACAAAGAGGGCACAGCAUGAUCAGAGGUAUGUUUGGAUGUUAGAGGAUGCCAACCCGCAGUCCCAUCAUCGCCACCUACCCCGCUUUUAAGAUAACCUUUGGGCCGACUAGAGACACUAUUAUGUAAUUGUGAUGAACUGUGAGAAUAUUUAGGUAGCACUGUGAUUCAUUAAUCAUGUGCUGCCUUCCCUGCUCCUAUGUGCUUACCUCUUUCCCUUUCUGUCUUUUACACCUCUCCCGCCACCUCUUUCUUCCUCUGUUUUUAUAAUGCACAACAGAUGUGCAUUGAAGUACAGAUUAAACUUGUAUUUAUAACACUUGGAUACUGAGCUUUUCAAUAAAGUGUUUCACAUUC